AGCGAUCUACUCCGAGCUACUACUACAAGCGGUCUACUUCAAAUUUCUACUAUGAGCGAUCCGCAUCGAAUUUCUACUGUAAGCCUCCACCCGAGCUUCCCUUGUGAAUGAAUUCCUUCCGAACUUCUAUUGCAGGCAGGCUUCGGUCGAGCUUCCUCGACAAAUGAUCCCCAUUCGGACUUCUACGGGAACCAGACUCUGAUCGAACUUC
rnacentral:lncRNA from 1 species